rnacentral:rRNA from 1 species
AUGUCGAAGGCGCCGCCGCGGGAAGACCCGUCGCCGACAGGCGUCGCGGUGUCUCCGGAGGUCGAGGCCGCGCUCGCGAGCGGCGGGGCGGUCGUCGCCCUCGAGUCCACCAUCAUCUGCCACGGCAUGCCCUACCCGAAGAACCUCCAGACGGCCAUGGAGGUGGAGGCCAUCGUCAGGGAGAACGGCGCUGUUCCUGCCACCAUAGCCAUUCUGAACGGCGUGCCACAUGUUGGGCUUAACAGUGAACAGCUGAAGAACUUGGCUAUAAGCGGAAGUCAGUUUCAGAAGACAGCUAGAAGAGAUAUCGCGCAAGUUGUUGCGUCAGGCGGCAAUGGUGCUACGACAGUCUCUGCCACCAUGUUUUUUGCUCAUAAGGUUGGUAUACCAAUUUUUGUGACUGGGGGAAUUGGAGGCGUACACAGAUACGGUGAAAAAACCAUGGAUAUCUCAUCUGACUUAACUGAACUUGGAAAGACUCCUGUGGCUGUUAUUUCAGCCGGUGUGAAGUCCAUUUUGGAUAUCGCACGGACGCUCGAGUACUUGGAAACUCAAGGGGUAACCGUUGCUGCUUACAGAACCAACGAAUUUCCAGCUUUCUUCACAGAAACCAGUGGAUGUAAGGUGCCAUGUCGCGUUGAUUCUCCAGAAGAGUGUGCGAAGAUAAUAUAUGCAAACCAGAAUAUGCAUCUAGGAUCUGGAAUUCUUAUUGCAGUGCCAGUUCCCAAGCAACAUGCAGCCUCAGGAAAGGUUAUAGAGUCUGCAAUACAGCAAUCCCUCAAGGAAGCAGAUGAUAAAAAGAUAAUAGGAAAUGCAAUCACCCCCUUCAUCCUUGACAGAGUGAAAGUACUAACUGGAGGAUCUUCAUUGGAAGCCAACAUUGCACUUGUGAAGAACAAUGCUCUCACUGGUGCUAAAAUUGCUGUAGCCCUUUCAGAUCUUCGCAAGAGAGUAACAAACAGGUUUGGAAAAGUGCCAGCAAGCGGCUUCGUUCCUAUUUUCUAA